UCCACGGGCGUGGCGGCCGCCGCGGGGCUGCACCGCUACCUGCGCGACUUCUGUGGCUGCCACGUGGCCUGGUCCGGCUCUCAGCUGCGCCUGCCGCGGCCACUGCCAGCCGUGCCGGGGGAGCUGACCGAGGCCACGCCCAACAGGUGUACCUGGCCUUGGGCCUGACCCAGGCAGAGAUCAAUGAGUUCUUUACUGGUCCUGCCUUCCUGGCCUGGGGGCGAAUGGGCAACCUGCACACCUGGGAUGGCCCCCUGCCCCCCUCCUGGCACAUCAAGCAGCUUUACCUGCAGCACCGGGUCCUGGACCAGAUGCGCUCCUUCGGCAUGACCCCAGUGCUGCCUGCAUUCGCGGGGCAUGUUCCCGAGGCUGUCACCAGAGACCCCGCAAACAAGCGCAUCAGAGGAUCUGGGUGGUGCGAGAGCCUCCUACAGCAGCCAGGCCAGAAGGGAAUCUGUGAAAUGGGCUUUGAAACCUGCCUUGCCUUUCUCCGCCCGGUCCCAGCGGGGGUCCGAUCGGCAUCAAGGCUUCACCCACUCCCAGAGCCUUCGGGAUCAGCCCCACCCCAUCAGCAGGACACAGCCCAUGCCACUG
ensembl:lncRNA novel transcript